CUGGCUUCAGGUUCGGGACAACAGUUGGAAACGGCUGCUAAUACCGGAUGUGCCUUAGGGUGAAAGAUUUAUCACCUGAAGAUGAGCUCGCGUCUGAUUAGCUAGUAGGUGUGGUAAGAGCGCACCUAGGCGACGAUCAGUAGCUGGUCUGAGAGGAUGAUCAGCCACACUGGGACUGAGACACGGCCCAGACUCCUACGGGAGGCAGCAGUGGGGAAUUUUCCGCAAUGGGCGAAAGCCUGACGGAGCAAUACCGCGUGAGGGAGGAAGGCUCUUGGGUUGUAAACCUCUUUUCUCAGGGAAGAAUAAUGACGGUACCUGAGGAAUAAGCAUCGGCUAACUCCGUGCCAGCAGCCGCGGUAAUACGGAGGAUGCAAGCGUUAUCCGGAAUGAUUGGGCGUAAAGCGUCCGCAGGUGGCAAUGUAAGUCUGCUGUCAAAGCGUCUGGCUCAACCAGAUAAAGGCAGUGGAAACUACAUAGCUAGAGUAAGGUAGGGGUAGAGGGAAUUCCUGGUGUAGCGGUGAAAUGCGUAGAGAUCAGGAAGAACACCGGUGGCGAAAGCGCUCUGCUGGACCUAAACUGACACUGAGGGACGAAAGCUAGGGGAGCGAAUGGGAUUAGAUACCCCAGUAGUCCUAGCCGUA
rnacentral:rRNA from 1 species